rnacentral:lncRNA from 1 species
GUCACCUAACUAAACAGAAGCUUUCGCAGAAACUUCUUUCUGACGUUUGCAUUCAAAGUCCAGAGCUGACCUUUGCUUUGAUAGUUCACGGUUGAAACACUCUUGUUGGAGGACCUGCAAGUGGAUAUUUGGAGCACUUUGUGGCCUUCGUUGGAAACGGGUAUAUCUUCACAUAAAAUCUAGACAGAAGCCUUCUCAGAAACUUCUCUGUGAUGAUUGUAUUCAACUCACAGAGUUGAACAUUCCUUUUGAUAGAGCAGUUUUGAAACUCUCUUUUUCUAGCAUCUGCAAAGGGAAGGUGGAACUCUGUGAAGAUUUCUUUGGAAACGGGAAUAUCUUCACGUAAAAAGUAAACAGAAGCAUUCUCAGAAACUCCUUUGUGAGGCUUGUGUUCAACUCCCAGAAUAUAACAUUGCUUUUCGUAGAGCAGUUUUGAGACAUUCUUUUCGUAGAGUCUCCAAGUGGACAUUUGGAGCGCUUUCAGGCCUGUGGUGGAAAAGGAAAUAUCUUCACAUAAAAACUAGAGAGAAGCAUUGUCAGAAACUUCUUUGUGAUGAUUGCAUUCAACUCACGGAGCUGAGGAUUCCUUUUGAUACAGCAGUUUGGAAAGACUCUUUCUGUGGAAUCUGCAGGCGGAUAUGUGGACCUCUUUGAACAUUUCGAUGGAAAAGGGAUAAUCUUCCCAUAAAAGCUAAACGGAAGCAUGCUCAGGAACUUCCUUGUGAUGUUUGCAUUCAACUCACAGAGUUGUACUUUCCUUUUGAUAGAGCAGCUUUGAAACCCUCUCUUUCUAGCAUCUGCAAGGGGACAUUUGGAGGGCUUCGAGGCCUGGGGUGGAAAAGGAAAUAUCUUCUCAUAAAAGCUACAUGGAAGCAUUCUCAGAAACUGCUUUGUGAUGAUUGCAUUCAAGUCACAGAGUUGAACAUUCCCUUUGAUGGAGCCGUUUGGAAACACACUUUUGGUAGAAUCUGCAAGGGGAGAUUUGGACCGCUUUGAGGCCUAUGGCAGUAGAGGAUAUAACUGCACAUAAAAACUAGACAGUAGCAUUCCCAGGAAACGCUUUGUGACGAUUGAGUUCAACUCACAGAGCUGAACAUUCCUUUGGAUGGAGGAGUUUCAAAACACACUUUCUGUAGAAUCUGCAAGUGGAUAUUUGGACCUCUCUGAGGAUUUCGUUGGAAAAGGGAUA